rnacentral:rRNA from 1 species
GUCGUCAGUUCGUACUGUGAAGCAUCCUGUUAAGUCAGGCAACGAGCGAGACCCACGCCAACAGUUGCCAGCUCGUCCUCCGGGAUGGUGGGGACACUGUUGGGACCGCCUCUGCUAAAGAGGAGGAAGGAAUGGGCAACGGUAGGUCAGCAUGCCCCGAAUUAUCUGGGCUACACGCGGGCUACAAUGGGUGGGACAAUGGGUAUCGACACCGAAAGGUGAAGGCAAUCUCCUAAACCCAUCCUUAGUUCGGAUUGUGGGCUGCAACUCGCCCACAUGAAGCUGGAAUCUGUAGUAAUCGUGUUUCAAAAUAGCACGGUGAAUAUGUCCCUGCUCCUU